rnacentral:rRNA from 1 species
UGGCGGACGGGUGAGUAAUGUCUGGGAAACUGCCUGAUGGAGGGGGAUAACUACUGGGAACGGUAGCUAAUACCGCAUAACGUCGCAAGACCAAAGAGGGGGACCUUCGGGCCUCUUGCCAUCGGAUGUGCCCAGAUGGGAUUAGCUAGUAGGUGGGGUAACGGCUCACCUAGGCGACGAUCCCUAGCUGGUCUGAGAGGAUGACCAGCCACACUGGAACUGAGACACGGUCCAG